rnacentral:rRNA from 1 species
GCAAGUCGAACGAACUCUGGUAUUGAUUGGUGCUUGCAUCAUGAUUUACAUUUGAGUGAGUGGCGAACUGGUGAGUAACACGUGGGAAACCUGCCCAGAAGCGGGGGAUAACACCUGGAAACAGAUGCUAAUACCGCAUAACAACUUGGACCGCAUGGUCCGAGCUUGAAAGAUGGCUUCGGCUAUCACUUUUGGAUGGUCCCGCGGCGUAUUAGCUAGAUGGUGGGGUAACGGCUCACCAUGGCAAUGAUACGUAGCCGACCUGAGAGGGUAAUCGGCCACAUUGGGACUGAGACACGGCCCAAACUCCUACGGGAGGCAGCAGUAGGGAAUCUUCCACAAUGGACGAAAGUCUGAUGGAGCAACGCCGCGUGAGUGAAGAAGGGUUUCGGCUCGUAAAACUCUGUUGUUAAAGAAGAACAUAUCUGAGAGUAACUGUUCAGGUAUUGACGGUAUUUAACCAGAAAGCCACGGCUAACUACGUGCCAGCAGCCGCGGUAAUACGUAGGUGGCAAGCGUUGUCCGGAUUUAUUGGGCGUAAAGCGAGCGCAGGCGGUUUUUUAAGUCUGAUGUGAAAGCCUUCGGCUCAACCGAAGAAGUGCAUCGGAAACUGGGAAACUUGAGUGCAGAAGAGGACAGUGGAACUCCAUGUGUAGCGGUGAAAUGCGUAGAUAUAUGGAAGAACACCAGUGGCGAAGGCGGCUGUCUGGUCUGUAACUGACGCUGAGGCUCGAAAGUAUGGGUAGCAAACAGGAUUAGAUACCCUGGUAGUCCAUACCGUAAACGAUGAAUGCUAAGUGUUGGAGGGUUUCCGCCCUUCAGUGCUGCAGCUAACGCAUUAAGCAUUCCGCCUGGGGAGUACGGCCGCAAGGCUGAAACUCAAAGGAAUUGACGGGGGCCCGCACAAGCGGUGGAGCAUGUGGUUUAAUUCGAAGCUACGCGAAGAACCUUACCAGGUCUUGACAUACUAUGCAAAUCUAAGAGAUUAGACGUUCCCUUCGGGGACAUGGAUACAGGUGGUGCAUGGUUGUCGUCAGCUCGUGUCGUGAGAUGUUGGGUUAAGUCCCGCAACGAGCGCAACCCUUAUUAUCAGUUGCCAGCAUUAAGUUGGGCACUCUGGUGAGACUGCCGGUGACAAACCGGAGGAAGGUGGGGAUGACGUCAAAUCAUCAUGCCCCUUAUGACCUGGGCUACACACGUGCUACAAUGGAUGGUACAACGAGUUGCGAACUCGCGAGAGUAAGCUAAUCUCUUAAAGCCAUUCUCAGUUCGGAUUGUAGGCUGCAACUCGCCUACAUGAAGUCGGAAUCGCUAGUAAUCGCGGAUCAGCAUGCCGCGGUGAAUACGUUCCCGGGCCUUGUACACACCGCCCGUCACACCAUGAGAGUUUGUAACACCCAAAGUCGGUGGGGUAACCUUUUAGGAACC